AAUUGCUUUCAAAGAACAUAGUACUACAGUGAUUCCAAAAAUGUCUCCAAUGGUCCUAGAAUAGUUGCUAAAAUAAGUGUCAACUGUUCUCGUUGAUUAGAAGAAUCUGCCAUGUUUGGGUGACUUUUAGAAUUUGGAGACUGAGGUCUUUAAUUCAUAACCAAUGGUGUUAGGUUUUUUGUUUUUUGUGUUUUGUUCUGUUUUUGCUGCCAUAAAAAUUAUAGCAAAUUUAGUGGCUUAAAACGAUACAAUUGUAUUGCCUUAGAGUUCUGUGGACAAGAAGUCCAGUAUGAGUUUUACUGAACUAAAAUCAUGGUGUCGGCAGUCCGUGUGCCUUUCUGGAGACUCUAGGGGAGAAUCCAUUUCCUACUCAUCAGGGUUGUUGGCAGAAUUCAGUUCCUUUUGGUUACAGGUUAUAGGCUGAGGUAGUUGUUUCUUUGCUGGCUGUCAGCUGAGGGCUAUUCCCAGCUUCUAGAGGUCCCCUUCCUGCAUCUUCAAAGCCAACGCUGGUGGGUUGAGCCCCUCUAACGUAGAAUCUCUCUGACCUUCUCAAUCUCCUCCACUUUUAAGGUCUCAUGUGAUUAGAUUGAGCCUACCUGUAUGAUUUCCACACUCAAAUUCUGUAGCCUUAAUCACAUCUACCAAGUACCUUGUGCUCUGUAAGGAAACAUGGUCACAAAUUCCAGAGGUUAGGUUGCGGACACCUUUGAAAAGCCAUUAGUCUUUCUACUAUGCCAAUUUUACAUACCCCUUGCUGAACAAUAAUUUCCUAUAUUGAAGAGAAUAAGCUUACCAAAAGAUUUGUAAUAAAUAAAAUUUUAUGACUGGUGAAUGAAUUUUACAGAACUUAUGUUGAAAUGUAUUCUUUUGCUUGAUUCAUCUGUUUUAUUCUCAUCUGCUACCAGUAGUCUAUAUGGAGAGAUGAAAAAAAUAAGUCAAUGCUAUGGGCUCACAUUCACAUGUUGAAGCCCUAAGCCCCAGUGUGAUUGUAUUUGGAGAAGGGGCCUUUGGGAGGUAAUUAGGUUUAGAUGAGGUCAUGAGAGUGAGGUCUUCAUGAUGAGAUCAGUGUCCCUUAAAACAGAGAUACCAGAAAUCAAGCGCUUGCUCUCCCGUGCGCACUCUCCCCCUUUCUCUUUCUGUGUCUCUCUCUCCUCCUCCCUUUCUCUGCCAUGUGAGGACACAGAGAGAAGGUAGCUAUCUGCAAGUGAGGAAGUAGGCCCUCAUCGGAACUCAACCAUGCUGGUACUCUGAUCUUAGACAUCUAGCUUCCAGAACUAUGAGAAAUAAAUUGUUUUUUGUUUAAACCACAGUCUAUAAUAUUUUGUUUGGCAGUGUGAGCAGACUGAAACAGUCAGAAAAGUAGAUGUAAAUAAAAGAGAUACAUCCCCUAUUUUCAAUUUAAGGAAAUAUAGUUUCACAAUGGAGGUGGCAUAACCCACUUCAAAAAGCAAUAAACUUUAGCUUCCAUUAGAAAUCCUCUUAUUUAAUCACUGAUUUUUACUAGCUAAGAGCAGAAAAAUCUUACCUAACUAUAUUGAGAUUUUCUAAAAUGGUUUGAGACCUUCAAAAUAUUAUUUAUAAUAAUGAUUGCCUCUUCUAUAUGAUUAUAGAUCAGGACCUUGUCAAGUAGCAGUAAUAAUGUCAAGGAGUAAUUUCUUUGAACGUGAAACUCAGGCAAACUAUAUAAAACUUGCACAAAUUUUUAAGGCUUAACAAUUAAUUUCUCAGGCCAGACAUGGCAGCUCACACCUAUAAUCCCAGCACUUUGGGAGGCCUAGGCGGGCAGAUCACUUGAGGUCUGGAGUUUGAGACCAGUCUGGCCAACAUGGUUUGGUCUCUACUGAAAAUACAAAAAUUAGCUGGGCAUGGUGAGGGGUGCCUAUAAUCCCAGCUACUUGGGAAGCUGAGGUAGGAGAAUUGCUUGAACCUGGCAGAAGGAGGUUGCAGUGAGCCUUAAGCCACUGGGUGACAGAGCUAAGCUCCAUCUCAAAAAAAAAAAAA
ensembl:lncRNA